rnacentral:lncRNA from 1 species
AACUUCUCUUUGGGGAGAUCAAUAUGAGCAGCAAAGGAUUCACACAAUGAAGCUACUAUCUCAGAUUCAAGUCCAUACUUAGCGCUAAAGUCACAAAAAGUAUUUGUCUCAACAAAGGAUUUAACGCAAUCGACAGUGAAAUUCAUACCUGAAUCCUUACCUUCUUCAAGCUCCCAAUCUUCAGAGUUGCGUUCAAUUCUCUCCAAUAAAUUCCAUUGAAGUCAAUAUCUCUCUUCAUAAAAGAACCGGUACAAGAAG